rnacentral:rRNA from 1 species
GUGGGGAAUCUUGCGCAAUGGGCGAAAGCCUGACGCAGCCAUGCCGCGUGAAUGAUGAAGGUCUUAGGAUUGUAAAAUUCUUUCACCGGGGACGAUAAUGACGGUACCCGGAGAAGAAGCCCCGGCUAACUUCGUGCCAGCAGCCGCGGUAAUACGAAGGGGGCUAGCGUUGCUCGGAAUUACUGGGCGUAAAGGGAGCGUAGGCGGACAUUUAAGUCAGGGGUGAAAUCCCGGGGCUCAACCUCGGAAUUGCCUUUGAUACUGGGUGUCUUGAGUAUGAGAGAGGUGUGUGGAACUCCGAGUGUAGAGGUGAAAUUCGUAGAUAUUCGGAAGAACACCAGUGGCGAAGGCGACACACUGGCUCAUUACUGACGCUGAGGCUCGAAAGCGUGGGGAGCAAACAGG